rnacentral:rRNA from 1 species
GAUGAACGCUGGCGGCGUGCCUAAUACAUGCAAGUCGAGCGAACAGACGGGGAGCUUGCCCCUCUGACGUUAGCGGCGGACGGGUGAGUAACACGUGGAUAACCUACCUAUAAGACUGGGAUAACUUCGGGAAACCGGAGCUAAUACCGGAUAAUAUAUUGAACCGCAUGGUUCAAUAGUGAAAGACGGUUUUGCUGUCACUUAUAGAUGGAUCCGCGCCGCAUUAGCUAGUUGGUAAGGUAACGGCUUACCAAGGCGACGAUGCGUAGCCGACCUGAGAGGGUGAUCGGCCACACUGGAACUGAGACACGGUCCAGACUCCUACGGGAGGCAGCAGUAGGGAAUCUUCCGCAAUGGGCGAAAGCCUGACGGAGCAACGCCGCGUGAGUGAUGAAGGUCUUCGGAUCGUAAAACUCUGUUAUUAGGGAAGAACAAAUGUGUAAGUAACUAUGCACGUCUUGACGGUACCUAAUCAGAAAGCCACGGCUAACUACGUG